rnacentral:misc_RNA from 1 species
AAGUCGUAACAAGGUUUCCGUAGGUGAACCUGCGGAAGGAUCAUUAACACGUAUCCAACGUUAAACCCCCCGUGCACCUUCACAGAGCGCGCUGCUCCUCUCGACGUCAGCAAUCCUGGUAAAUCAGUGGCGAAAGUAGUCUUUGAUUCAGGACCUCUGAAGUUGUAAGCAGGCAGUUUGAGCCUUCUAUCGCCAGUCUGGAGUCCUGGCACAAGUGCGCCGUGGUAGAGGAAAACGUACAACUGUUAACAAUGGAUAUCUUGGUUCUC